GAUGAACGCUGGCGGCGUGCUUAAUACAUGCAAGUCGAACGGACAGGCCCUGCUUUUGCGGGGUGCUCGUUUGGCGAACGGGUGUGUAACACGUGAGUAACCUGCCCUUGACUUUGGGAUAAAUUUAGGAAACUCGGGCUAAUACAGGAUAGGAGCUCUUGCUGCACGGUGGUGGUUGGAAAGUUUCGGCGGUUGGGGAUGGACUCGCGGCUUAUCAGCUUGUUGGUGGGGUAGUGGCUUACCAAGGCUUUGACGGGUAGCCGGCCUGAGAGGGUGACCGGCCACAUUGGGACUGAGAUACGGCCCAGACUCCUACGGGAGGCAGCAGUGGGGAAUAUUGCACAAUGGGCGGAAGCCUGAUGCAGCAACGCCGCGUGCGGGAUGACGGCCUUCGGGUUGUAAACCGCUUUCGCCUGUGACGAAGCGUGAGUGACGGUAAUGGGUAAAGAAGCACCGGCUAACUACGUG
rnacentral:rRNA from 1 species